GAGAGAGAGAGAGAGAGAGAUUGCAUGUAUAUACUAAAGGUGUAUACAUACGUAAAUGUAACUACAUGUGCAUAUAUUCAUAUCUAUUAACACACGCAUGAAAAAUGACGAUUUACCAUGCAGUUAUCUAAAUGAGUACACCUUUUUAACAAUAAUAUUUAACAUCAUAUAUUUGUGUGUGUGUUCCUCCUAGUAAACUGCACUGAUAUGACAAACCAUUUUUCCAUGUACUCACCAACCUCCUUCCUAUUUCCUUCUCUCAUUCAGACUUGCAGAUCCCCAGGUAUUCCACUCCUUAAGGCAAGUUCAGGCAUGAAGUGUUGGGCUCUCAGAAUGAGCACAGGUGAUCAGCUGCCUGUGUCAUCACCUAUGUACCCAAUUGUGUUUUAGUACCAAGGGAGUAAAAAGGAGUCCAAGAAGUGAGAACAAUAAAGUGGAGUUCUUAAUUCAGAAAAUAAGUGAACUUACUUAACUGAUAAACAAUGGAACCAACAAGAAAGCCUCCUCGUCAGUCACUGUCACACACAUAUUCAACCAUUCACUCCUUAGACUAUACCAGGCAUAUAUUGUGGAAUCAAGAAAUCCAUGCUGGAAAGAAA